rnacentral:miRNA from 1 species
GGAUGCCCAGCUAAAUUUUAAUUUCAUAUAAACAAAAAAUAAUUUUAAUACAAGUAUGUCCCAUGCAACAUUUGGCACAUACUUAUACUAGAAAAUUAUACAUUGUUUGUAUGGAAUUAGAAUUUAAAUG